rnacentral:rRNA from 1 species
ACGCUUCUUUUUCCACCGGAGCUUGCUCCACCGGAAAAAGAGGAGUGGCGAACGGGUGAGUAACACGUGGGUAACCUGCCCAUCAGAAGGGGAUAACACUUGGAAACAGGUGCUAAUACCGUAUAACAAUCGAAACCGCAUGGUUUUGAUUUGAAAGGCGCUUUCGGGUGUCGCUGAUGGAUGGACCCGCGGUGCAUUAGCUAGUUGGUGAGGUAACGGCUCACCAAGGCCACGAUGCAUAGCCGACCUGAGAGGGUGAUCGGCCACAUUGGGACUGAGACACGGCCCAAACUCCUACGGGAGGCAGCAGUAGGGAAUCUUCGGCAAUGGACGAAAGUCUGACCGAGCAACGCCGCGUGAGUGAAGAAGGUUUUCGGAUCGUAAAACUCUGUUGUUAGAGAAGAACAAGGAUGAGAGUAACUGUUCAUCCCUUGACGGUAUCUAACCAGAAAGCCACGGCUAACUACGUGCCAGCAGCCGCGGUAAUACGUAGGUGGCAAGCGUUGUCCGGAUUUAUUGGGCGUAAAGCGAGCGCAGGCGGUUUCUUAAGUCUGAUGUGAAAGCCCCCGGCUCAACCGGGGAGGGUCAUUGGAAACUGGGAGACUUGAGUGCAGAAGAGGAGAGUGGAAUUCCAUGUGUAGCGGUGAAAUGCGUAGAUAUAUGGAGGAACACCAGUGGCGAAGGCGGCUCUCUGGUCUGUAACUGACGCUGAGGCUCGAAAGCGUGGGGAGCAAACAGGAUUAGAUACCCUGGUAGUCCACGCCGUAAACGAUGAGUGCUAAGUGUUGGAGGGUUUCCGCCCUUCAGUGCUGCAGCUAACGCAUUAAGCACUCCGCCUGGGGAGUACGACCGCAAGGUUGAAACUCAAAGGAAUUGACGGGGGCCCGCACAAGCGGUGGAGCAUGUGGUUUAAUUCGAAGCAACGCGAAGAACCUUACCAGGUCUUGACAUCCUUUGACCACUCUAGAGAUAGAGCUUCCCCUUCGGGGGCAAAGUGACAGGUGGUGCAUGGUUGUCGUCAGCUCGUGUCGUGAGAUGUUGGGUUAAGUCCCGCAACGAGCGCAACCCUUAUUGUUAGUUGCCAUCAUUCAGUUGGGCACUCUAGCAAGACUGCCGGUGACAAACCGGAGGAAGGUGGGGGAUGACGUCAAAUCAUCAUGCCCCUUAUG